rnacentral:misc_RNA from 1 species
AAGUUAAGGUCGGGGAAGUGACUAGAGGAAUAAGCUCUAGUGGACGUGCCUCGAUGCGCUGUUGUGUGGGUUAAUUGUGCUUUUGGAAAACGAGGGCAUGUGGCUUAUGUGAUUGGAGUCUGGUGACUAGAUCAAUGUGGAAGGCUGAUUAGCAGUUGCUUUCUCUCCUAUGACAAGCGGUGAGACAAGGUGAUCUCCCGAAAGUGGUGACUUAUGAUAAUAGU